GAUGAACGCUAGCUACAGGCUUAACACAUGAUUAAAGGUAUUCCGGUAGACGAUGGGGAUGCGUUCCAUUAGAUAGUAGGCGGGGUAACGGCCCACCUAGUCUUCGAUGGAUAGGGGUUCUGAGAGGAAGGUCCCCCACAUUGGAACUGAGACACGGUCCAAACUCCUACGGGAGGCAGCAGUGAGGAAUAUUGGUCAAUGGGCGAGAGCCUGAACCAGCCAAGUAGCGUGAAGGAUGACUGCCCUAUGGGUUGUAAACUUCUUUUAUAAAGGAAUAAAGUGGGAGUCGUGACUCUUUUUGCACGUACCUUAUGAAUAAGGACCGGCUAAUUCCGUG
rnacentral:rRNA from 1 species